rnacentral:tRNA from 1 species
GGUGGGUUGGCUCAGUGGUUAGAGCGUAGGUCUCGUAACCUAAAGGUUGCGGGAUCGAAUCCCGCUAGAGGCUG